GAUGAACGCUGGCGGCGUGCUUAACACAUGCAAGUCGAGCGGGCAAUUUAUCUAGCACUGAUUACUUCAAAUGGAAAUCAUAAGUGUAAUCAUGAAUUUCUACCUUUAAUAAAGAAAAAGAAAUUCAUGUACGCAAAUAGUGAUAACACAUUUUAGUGGAGUGAUGAGUGCUGGAUAAAUUGCUAGCGGCGGACGGGUGCGUAACACGUGGGUAACCUGCCCCUAUCACUGGGGAUAACACACUGAAAAGUGUGCUAAUACCAGAUAAUAUAAGCUUUUGGCAUCAUUAGCUUAUCAAAGAAUUUCGGAUAGGGAUGGGCCCGCGUCUGAUUAGCUAGUUGGUGAGGUAACGGCUCACCAAGGCAACGAUCAGUAGCCGACCUGAGAGGGUGAUCGGCCACACUGGAACUGAGACACGGUCCAGACUCCUACGGGAGGCAGCAGUGGGGAAUAUUGCAC
rnacentral:rRNA from 1 species